UUCAGACAGCACAGCAACGUUACGUGAAAACAUGUGGAGACUAACUCAUCGUGAUUGGACUCUUAUCAUGAGUUGUCGACAAAGGUUAGUGCGCCUUUGGCAGAGAGAAUAUACAAGCUACUCAAAUGUGUGCUUCUGGCUCUACCUUGGAGUAUAUAUAGGUAUACCAAGAGCGAACAAACCAGCAAGCGAAUGAGAGGAGAGAAAGAGAGAGAGAGAGAGAGAGAGAGAGAGAGAGAGAGAGAGAGAGAGAGAGAGAGAGAUGUAAAGAAAGGGACGAAAGAAGAAAGACGCCCAACGGAGACCUUGAAAGCGGCACCUAUACAAACAGCCUCAAAAAAUUAGCAGAGUUUGUAUUACCUCUUGUAAACUAAUAUCUGCAAGUGUCCAACAGAUUUUUGUUAAAUUUUCGUGAGUGUUUGUUUCCUCGCUUACAAAAUUAUGAAACUACACUUCCAUAAGUGAAAAGGAGAUAAGAUUGUCAUCUUUUAAAUGUUAUUAGUUUUUAGAUUUGCACAGCAUUAUCAGAGAUGAAACAGAAAGCUAUAAAAACGAAGUAUAAAAUUUCUUUCGAAAAUCAUUAGAAGCAGCUAUGUGUCGUAUUUUAUUCUAUGCAUAUCUUCGAGACAGAGGGAGGAAGAGAACCAAAAGCAACAUAGGCAGCUUGUCUACGGUCCGAGGACCCACAGUGGCCACGAAUAAGAAGCUCAAACUGGAGAUAAGAUUCUACUCUAUAGUAGAAAUUUGUUUGCGCAUAAAACUACCCACAUAAUAAGCCGCUGUCGUCGAGGCAGUGCAGCUUGUGUACCAUUGUGAUACUUGACAAGAAAUAAAAUAAAAUGGCGCGCUUCAGACACUUUCUUGUCGACAAUUUUUUAAUCAUUAGUUUGUUACUGUUGGAAAUUCUUGGUAUAUUUCACUGUUUGUUUGUUUGUGUGUGAGUGAGAGAGAGAGAGAGAGAGAGUGUGCGUGUGUAAAGUAAAAAAAUGUGAGGGAAGAAAGAUAAAUGCAGAAUAACUAGAAUAUUCAUCAACCAAAACUUGAUUUCUCAGCUAUUGAAUUAUGGAGCUACGCGCAUCUACCGUUAAUUAAUUUGGUCGAUAGUUUAGGCGUGAUUAAGCUAGUGCUCAGGGGCUAAAAUGUGUAGGGAGAUCGAAAUGUGCGCUGCUUGCUCGGUGACUGGCUCAUUCUCCUCUCCCUCUUCUCGAUGUUCUGCUCUACUCUGCACAAGUGCCCCUCGAUGCCCUCCAAUUUCCGCGCAGGAUACCAUCAUACUCGUCUCAUCUGAUUAUGCCAAAUUCAUUGUCAAUCUCGCAUUACAGUGUGCAAUACGACUUCGGCAUGUUUGCUUGUCCAUUUUCAGCCUUUUUACUGGCUUUAUGGCUGUCUGUCUGUGUGUAUAUGUUUCUGGUUCUUUCUCUCUCUCUCUCUUUAUUAAUUAUUAUAAUACCGUUUAAACUAUUGUGAGUACAUAGGAUUUACGUUAUCGUUUAUUCCAUUCUCAACCCUGUAUCUAUCUCUUGCUCUAUUCAAUCUACAGUAAUGUUUUGUACGUAAGAAAUAUUUUAAAUAAAUUUAAGGGAAGUAAGGUACAAUUUACAGAAA